rnacentral:rRNA from 1 species
UACGUAGGAUGCAAGCGUUGUCCGGAUUUAUUGGGUUUAAAGGGUGCGUAGGCGGCUUAUUAAGUUAGUGGUGAAAACGAUAGGCUUAACCGGAUACCCGCCAUUGAUACUGAUAGACUUGAGUGCGACAGAGGGUGUUGGAAUGUGUGGUGUAGCGGUGAAAUGCUUAGAUAUCACGCAGAACACCAAUUGCGAAGGCAGAUGCCUAUGUCGUAACUGACGCUGAGGCACGAAAGCGUGGGGAGCGAACAGG